rnacentral:lncRNA from 1 species
UAUUUCGCGACACUGAUUCUAAUAAAAAAAAAAAAACAAAUCAAUGAUUCAAUUUCACGAGCUAAAUACUAGAUUCCAAGCUCGGGAAAAAUGCGCCAGCGGUUAAGUGACCAAACCGACUACUACGCAGUCCCGAACGAAAUGACUUGCAACGGUUAGACGAAACUUAUUUGUGCCGAAACGAGUUGGGUGGUGGGAGAAGACGCCGUCGCUCAUUGGGCGAUAUUGGUGGUGAUCGUGGAAUCACGUAUCAUCUAUCCCUUCCCUCAAUCUUACCGAGAAUGCGUUAGGUAGUGUUUCUACCCUAACCCAAAGAGUAGAAAUACUACCUAACCAAAGCCCUAACCGACCGAGGAAUUUCAGACCUUUUCUUUUUACACUAAAUAAACAAGCGAACGGCGAGGGUUCAAAUUUUUACGACGCGUCGCCCUUUCGCAGCGGAAUUCAGGAAAAUUACUAACGUCCCGAAAAUUGCGAGAAAAAAAAUAUGUCAUUUUUCGAGACUUGUUACUACUUCACGCAUUUCUUGGUAUACCUUCCGCCGCCAAUCCGGAAAUAAUAAGAAGUAAAAUUAACUAUCGUAAGGCUGUUUUCAUGAAAUAUUGAGAUCGCUAGACGAGAACUAGGAUUUACAAUAAUUACGCGAAUAAAAUAUGCCAGAUAAAUCUUUCAUGGCAAUUAAAUUCCUUUGAAAAUGAAACUGUUUUGUACAAACAAAAAUGAUAUUUAAUCGCAUUUACAAUUUCAAUUUAACAAAGAGAUUUCGAAAGAAAAGAUUGAUAAUACGUGUAAUAACUUUUUUUCCGAGUGAAUACUGUUGAAUUUCCCUUCGCCUUCGUCAUUCGGUUAAUGACUAACAUAUACCUCUGACGCAACAACUUGUUACGAGUUUAGUUCUUCCCGUCUUUGACUACUGCGCAGCUGCCCUUACUAACCUAAACUUAAGCCCUGGAAUUCUUUGCCGUCGGUUAUUACGACUGCUUCAUCGUUAGAUGUGUUCAAGACGAGUUGUCAUCAUUAUUUGUUGGCUAUUGAGCGUGCUGAAGUAGUGAGUGCGAUGGCCUAGCUGCUAGAUGGCUGUUUGAGAAGAUGUUUAAAAAAAAAAAAAAAUGACGUUGAGAGACCAUUUAAUAACUUUAAUAACUUUAAUAACAAUAUUAUAAAUACCAUUAUGCUUAUUAUUUGCAUACUAUUUGUAAUGUUAAUAAUAUGCUAGUUUUAAGUUUAUAUAUAUAUUUUUUUUUUGUUUCUCUUUUUUUUAUGUACACUCUGUAUACUUUUUCUUGCUUUUGGCCGUUAGAGGACUUUGUCCUACGGCCUUGUAAUAAAUUACAAUUACAAUUACAAUUACAAUUUCGACGAGUUUUAUGCUCGUUCGAAUAACGUCAAGAUACACUUAGAACUCCUGUUACACGUAUUAAUGACAUCCUUUUCGUGUAUAAAUAUAUAUAUAUAUAUAUAUAUUUUUUUUUUUGAGGCAGGAAAUUAUAAAGUAAACAAUAUCUAAUAACACCUUUUAUAAUUUUAUACUGCAAUCUAUAAUUUAUAUCACCAAUAUCAAUAGUCGUUAAAUCCAUAGACUGAAAUGAGUUUCAAAUGGAAACGAUUAUUCGGUUAUACUACGAAUAUAGCUCCAACACUGUUGUCAACAGAGUCACCUUAAGUCUAUAAAAUAAUACAAACUGAAAAAAAUUUCUUCUGUUUAAGUAAAUAUCUGACUAGUUCGUCCUGAUUUGUUUCAUUUGAUUUAAGAUUUGUUUGAUUGAAAUAAGUCGUACUAAAAUAUCAUAGAUUCACUAAUUCUAAGAUCAAUGCAAUAGUCGUUUGAUUUAAUUUUUCGUUUCUAAAAACAAGUAAAUAUCGUUGUUUUUUUAUGUUACAUUGUUUACUUAGCAUAAAGUCUUUACAGUGCGUGUGUCAAGUAUUGUUACAAAACUCAAUUGUAAUUUUUACUCGGGUUUUGUUUACAGCUAGAGUCGAGUGGUUUUUUUCCGAUACUUUCUGCUCAUAUUUGAAUAUUAGUAUACCGCAGGGUUAAGAAAAAACAACUAUCCUUGUUUACAAAUAAUGCUGCAUGGUAUAAAGAAAUGUAAAUAUUGCCUGUUCACGUGAAUUUUGUUGAACGAAUAUCCAAGUUGAGCUUAUUUUUGUACAUUGGAAGUAUAAAUAAAUAUACAUUUCGCC